rnacentral:rRNA from 1 species
UGGUGGAGUGAUUUGUCUGCUUAAUUGCGAUAACGAACGAGACCUUAACCUGCUAAAUAGCCAGGCUAGCUUUGGCUGGUCGCCGGCUUCUUAGAGGACUAUCGGCUCAAGCCGAUGGAAGUUUGAGGCAAUAACA